rnacentral:rRNA from 1 species
CCCUUAGAUGUUCUGGGCUGCACGCGCGCUACACUGAUACUUUCAGCGAGUCCACCACCUUGCCUGAGAGGGUGGGGUAACCUCUGGAAAGUGUAUCGUGAUGGGGAUCGAUUAUUGUAAUUAUUAAUCUUCAACGAGGAAUUCCUAGUAAGCAUGUGUCAUCAGCCCGUGCUGAUUACGUCCCUGCCCUUUGUACACACCGCCCGUCGCUCCUACCGAUUGAAUGCUCAGGUGAGCCAUUCGGACCUUCAUCAUGCCGGUUUCCGGUUUUGAUGAGGGAAAGUCUUGCGAACCUUAUCAUUUAGAGGAAGGAGAAGUCGUAACA